rnacentral:rRNA from 1 species
GUGGGGAAUAUUGGACAAUGGGCGAAAGCCUGAUCCAGCCAUGCCGCGUGUGUGAAGAAGGUCUUCGGAUUGUAAAGCACUUUAAGUUGGGAGGAAGGGCAGUAAGUUAAUACCUUGCUGUUUUGACGUUACCAACAGAAUAAGCACCGGCUAACUUCGUGCCAGCAGCCGCGGUAAUACGAAGGGUGCAAGCGUUAAUCGGAAUUACUGGGCGUAAAGCGCGCGUAGGUGGUUCAGCAAGUUGGAGGUGAAAUCCCCGGGCUCAACCUGGGAACUGCCUCAAAAACUACUGAGCUAGAGUACGGUAGAGGGUAGUGGAAUUUCCUGUGUAGCGGUGAAAUGCGUAGAUAUAGGAAGGAACACCAGUGGCGAAGGCGACUACCUGGACUGAUACUGACACUGAGGUGCGAAAGCGUGGGGAGCAAACAGGAUUAGAAACCCUAGUAGUCC